GAUGAACGCUAGCUACAGGCUUAACACAUGCAAGUCGAGGGGAAACGAUGAGAGAGCUUGCUCUCUUAGUCGUCGACCGGCGCACGGGUGAGUAACGCGUAUCCAACCUGCCUCUGACCAAGGGAUAACCCGUCGAAAGUCGGACUAAUACCUUAUGCAGUCGUCGGAAGUCAUCUGAUGACGACGAAAGAUUUCAUCGGUGAGAGAUGGGGAUGCGUCUGAUUAGCUUGUUGGCGGGGUAACGGCCCACCAAGGCGACGAUCAGUAGGGGUUCUGAGAGGAAGGUCCCCCACAUUGGAACUGAGACACGGUCCAAACUCCUACGGGAGGCAGCAGUGAGGAAUAUUGGUCAAUGGGCGUAAGCCUGAACCAGCCAAGUAGCGUGCAGGAUGACGGCCCUAUGGGUGGUAAACUGCUUUUAGGCGGGGAUAAAGUGAGGGACGUGUCCUUCAUUGCAGGUACCGCAUGAAUAAGGACCGGCUAAUUCCGUG
rnacentral:rRNA from 1 species